rnacentral:rRNA from 1 species
UGAACGCUGGCGGCGUGCCUAACACAUGCAAGUCGAACGGAGUUAACGCUGAUGAGGCUUCGGCAGAAUCUUGUUAAACUAGUGGCGGACGGGUGAGUAACGCGUGGGUAACCUGCCUCAUACAGGGGGAUAGCAGUUGGAAACGACUGAUAACACCGCAUAAGCGCACGGUAUCGCAUGAUACAGUGUGAAAAUAUUUAUAGGUAUGAGAUGGACCCGCGUCUGAUUAGCUAGUUGGUGAGGUAACGGCCCACCAAGGCGACGAUCAGUAGCCGGCCUGAGAGGGCGGACGGCCACAUUGGGACUGAGACACGGCCCAAACUCCUACGGGAGGCAGCAGUGGGGGAUAUUGCACAAUGGGCGAAAGCCUGAUGCAGCGACGCCGCGUUGAGUGAAGAAGUAUUUCGGUAUGUAAAGCUCUAUCAGCAGGGAAGAAAGACCUCGUAAGAGGGGAUGACGGUACCUGAGUAAGAAGCCCCGGCUAACUACGUGCCAGCAGCCGC